UACAGAGGUCUCAAGCGUUGUUCGGAUUCAUUGGGCGUAAAGGGCGCGUAGGCGGUUCGUACAGUCAGACGUGAAAUUCCUGGGCUCAACCUGGGGGCUGCGUUUGAUACGUGCGGACUUGAGUGCGGAAGAGGGUCGUGGAAUUCCCAGUGUAGAGGUGAAAUUCGUAGAUAUUGGGAAGAACACCGGUGGCGAAGGCGGCGACCUGGUCCGAUACUGACGCUGAGGCGCGAAAGCGUGGGGAGCAAACAGG
rnacentral:rRNA from 1 species